UGGAGGCUUCUAGAACCCUGAGUCAGAGCCAGUGCUCGCCCAGAUGUGUGCAAGCAGGGGCGGUGCCGCUGCACCGUGGGGACGCUGUUGAUUGUACUCCCACCGGGGUGUCCCAGGAGACCCUCCUAGGCUUGGGGCACACCCAGAAAGAGCGUGGCUGCCUUCUACCACCAGUAAAUUGCCACCUUGUCCCUUCGUCUUAGGGUGGGGACUGCGAUGGCUUCUCCACCUUCGAUGUUCCCAUCUUCACUGAAGAGUUCUUGGACCAAAACAAAGCGCGCGAGGCGGAGCUUCGGCGCUUGCGGAAGAUGAAUGUGGCCUUCGAGGAGCAGAACGCGGUACUGCAGAGGCACACGCAGAGCAUGAGCAGCGCGCGCGAGCGUCUGGAGCAGGAGCUGGCGCUGGAGGAGCGGAGGACGCUGGCGCUGCAGCAGCAGCUCCAGGCCGUGCGCCAGGCGCUCACCGCCAGCUUCGCCUCACUGCCGGUGCCGGGCACGGGCGAAACGCCCACGCUGGGCACUCUGGACUUCUACAUGGCCCGGCUUCACGGAGCCAUCGAGCGCGACCCCGCCCAGCACGAGAAGCUCAUCGUCCGCAUCAAGGAAAUCCUGGCCCAGGUCGCCAGGUGUGUGCCGGGCGAGGCGGGGCGGGGCCGGGGUUCAAGGCCCGGAUGUGCCCGCCCUGGGGUUCCGCAGGUCCGCGAGGGCCGCUGGGUGGGACUCCGCAGCUUACUAGAGAUCACCUCCCGGAGGGGCCUACCUGCGGUCGCCCCUGAUGCACCAGUGCUAGGAUGGCCAUGGAGACCCCCGGGCUGGCGGGACCCACUCGGGGGCACCAGAACUUCCCUAAAGCUU
rnacentral:sRNA from 1 species